CACAGUGAGCAGCCUUUCUUUCUUUUCCCUUUCUUCCAGAGCAGACUGUUAACUAUAAUGGAGAACCAUUGAUUACCUUCAUUGUGUGGGCUGUGAUUUUCAGAUGGGAAUGCCAAGGGCAGCAUAGAGAACAGUUUGAAGAGGAGAGGAUGGACUGAAAGGCAGUAUUCUGUCUGAGGGUGAGUCCAGGUUUCAGACAAAGGUCUGAAGGAGAGCCAGCUUCACAGACAUCUGCUCCCUUGUCCCCCGGCAGUUCCCGGACUUCCAGGUCACAGCUUCUGCCUGACUCUUUCUUGCAUCUCUCUGCAGCACAGAUGAAAAUGGCAAGUUCCCUAGACUUCCCUCUGCUCAACCUCCUUGUCU